CCUACGGGAGGCAGCAGUGGGGAAUAUUGGGCAAUGGGCGCAAGCCUGACCUAGCAACGCCGCGUGAAGGAAGAAGGCUUUCGGGUUGUAAACUUCUUUGGACCGGGAAGAGUAGAAGACGGUACCUGUCGAAUAAGCCACGGAUAACUACGUGCCAGCAGCCGCGGGAAUACGUAGGUGGCAGGCGUUGUCCGGAUUUACUGGGUGUAAAGGGCGUGUAGCCGGGUUGACAAGUCAGAUGUGAACGCCUGCGGCUUAACCGCAGAACUGCAUUUGAAAAUGUUGAUCUUGAGUACUGGAGAGGCAGACGGAAUUCCUAGUGUAGCGGUGAAAUGCGUAGAUAUUAGGUGGAACACCAGUGGCGAAGGCGGUCUGCUGGACAGCAACUGACGGUGAGGCGCGAAAGCGUGGGGAGCAAACAGGAGUAGAUACCCCUGUAGUC
rnacentral:rRNA from 1 species